rnacentral:rRNA from 1 species
AUUGAACGCUGGCGGCAGGCCUAACACAUGCAAGUCGAGCGGAUGAAGGGAGCUUGCUCCUGGAUUCAGCGGCGGACGGGUGAGUAAUGCCUAGGAAUCUGCCUGGUAGUGGGGGAUAACGUCCGGAAACGGGCGCUAAUACCGCAUACGUCCUGAGGGAGAAAGUGGGGGAUCUUCGGACCUCACGCUAUCAGAUGAGCCUAGGUCGGAUUAGCUAGUUGGUGGGGUAAAGGCCUACCAAGGCGACGAUCCGUAACUGGUCUGAGAGGAUGAUCAGUCACACUGGAACUGAGACACGGUCCAGACUCCUACGGGAGGCAGCAGGGGGGAAUAUUGGACAAUGGGCGAAAGCCUGAUCCAGCCAUGCCGCGUGUGUGAAGAAGGUCUUCGGAUUGUAAAGCACUUUAAGUUGGGAGGAAGGGCAGUAAGUUAAUACCUUGCUGUUUGGACGUUACCAACAGAAUAAGCACCGGCUAACUUCGU